UGACGGUACCUGACUAAGAAGCCCCGGCUAACUACGUGCCAGCAGCCGCGGUAAUACGUAGGGGGCAAGCGUUAUCCGGAUUUACUGGGUGUAAAGGGAGCGUAGACGGAAUUGCAAGUCUGAUGUGAAAGGCAUGGGCUCAACCUGUGGACUGCAUUGGAAACUGUGAUUCUUGAGUGCCGGAGGGGUAAGCGGAAUUCCUGGUGUAGCGGUGAAAUGCGUAGAUAUCAGGAGGAACACCGGUGGCGAAGGCGGCUUACUGGACGGCAACUGACGUUGAGGCUCGAAGGCGUGGGGAGCAAACAGGAUUAGAUACCCUG
rnacentral:rRNA from 1 species